rnacentral:lncRNA from 1 species
ACAGUGCUGUCUCAAGGAUGUGUGGCACAACAGUGUGCCUUAGAAACACCUCCUUUUCUCCUGUUGUCUCUGCCCUGAACUCUUUUUAGUGCUAUAACAGUAGAUUUAUGAAAGGUUAAAGGAGUUCAGCACUAUUUCACUUGCAGGGAACUGCCACAGAAGGACAGGGAAGGAGGACAACAGACUCCCUGCAUUUAUUGUUCUUUUAAUUUCUGGGCUUCACCAAGAUGGGGGAUGUAGAGUGUGAAGGGAGGCCUAGCCUGCCUCCAUUCCCCCAUUUUCUUGACAAAAAGAUGAGCAGGACCAUGUACCAGGACAUCUUCGCUUGCUGCGAGUCAUUUGCUGAGGGCGAGGGUGGCAGAGGAGGACUAAUCGGAUCUCAUUUCACGAGCAACAGCAUUUUAGAGAACUAUCAGCCUUCUAAUGCUUGUCAAGAGCAGCAACAAAAUCAGUAACAAGAAUGCUCCCUGUGAAACUUCUAAGGACCACUUCAUUAAGAGAAUUCCUGCUUCGGUGCCGCAUGUGUAUGAGACUUUAUGAUAACCUAUAAUAUACAUAGGAAUACACUAUGUGAA